CGAACAACAAACACACUGGUUCACCGUUCCACCGGAGCAAACAGUACACCAUAAUGUUCUGAAUAAUGGCCAAGUAUACCUCGCUCCCUAUUCCACUGUACCGCUUAGGACUAACAAACACAAGUACAACAUUUAUCGGAAACUGUUAAACUACCCUCCUGCUCUCUGGGGAUGUACAACUCAACCCUGGGCCUAACAUCACCGAGCCAGCGAUACUCACCGGAGUGGAAAGCGGUGGAUGGCCUCGUCCACUGAUCGUCGCCGCUGCGGAAGUGGAACUGCAAGAAAACCAGUAUCUGGAAGGAAGAGGUCGACAGAGCAGGAGACCCACGUUGUAAAGAUGGUCAUUGCAAAUAACUGCAUCAGACUAAGAGAGCUACAGUACCCCAUAAUGGCAGAUAACACAAUAUUCCAAAACGUCAACAGAGUGAGUCUCGCUGCACUGUCUCGUCUACUGAAACGCAAUAGAAUUAGGAUGAAGCAGCUGUACAGAGUCCCUUUCGAAAGAAACUCAGACCGUGUAAAUCAACUGAGAUAUGAAUAUGUGCAGAGAGUCAUGGAGCUAGAAGCAGAUGCAGUGCAUCAUGAGCUAAUAUAUGUGGACGAGGCAGGUUCAACCUUGCAAAAACAAGGGGCCGCGGCAGAAAUAUCAUCGGACACCGCGCCAUCAUUAACGUCCCGGGACAACUUGGUGGCAACAACAAUGUGUACAGCUAUUAGUCAAAACGGCGUCCUUCACCAUCAUGCAAUCCUAGGCCCAUACAACACCGCACACAUUAUCACAUUUCUGGACACUCUCCACAACAGACUAAUCCCUGAUGACCAGGGGCCAGAGCAGCCCAGGUACGUUAUCAAAAAACUAUUCUGUUCUUUUUCUUCUUCUAGCACAAAUGUUUUUGUUUUCUUAUACUGCACUUUUGUUGUUUGAGUGUUUUGAGAAGAAGAAAAAAAAAUGUUUUCUACUUAUUUGUAUUGAUAGUGCGUUAUGUUCGGAACACACAUCCAUACUUUACACAUUUGGAUACCUGUGUGUAUGUGUGUUUACUACAUGUAUGACAAUGUACUUUAUUGGAAACUGCUAUGCCCUGCAGACUGAAAAAGCAUAAAGCUUGAAAAGUGUUUUUCAUUUAUACUAUCAGUGCGUAGUUGGUGCUUCGUGUGCUUAUUCAAAUGAGGGUUUGUGUGUACUGUAUUGACACAAAAACAAGAAAUAAGGUUUUGUGGUUAGUGUGUAGAGUUUUGAAAAAAUAGCCUAUAGUUUCAAAGAUAGUGCCUAAGCAAUCAGAAUAAACUGUAAAUCAAACCAUGGG
ensembl:lncRNA